rnacentral:rRNA from 1 species
UUUAUCGGAGAGUUUGAUCCUGGCUCAGGACGAACGCUGGCGGCGUGCCUAAUACAUGCAAGUCGAGCGGACAGAUGGGAGCUUGCUCCCUGAUGUUAGCGGCGGACGGGUGAGUAACACGUGGGUAACCUGCCUGUAAGACUGGGAUAACUCCGGGAAACCGGGGCUAAUACCGGAUGGUUGUCUGAACCGCAUGGUUCAGACAUAAAAGGUGGCUUCGGCUACCACUUACAGAUGGACCCGCGGCGCAUUAGCUAGUUGGUGAGGUAACGGCUCACCAAGGCGACGAUGCGUAGCCGACCUGAGAGGGUGAUCGGCCACACUGGGACUGAGACACGGCCCAGACUCCUACGGGAGGCAGCAGUAGGGAAUCUUCCGCAAUGG